AUAUUUAUAUGUAUAUAUAUAUAUUUCAAUAUGUGACCACAUGUGUAUCGUUGGGGAUUUUCGAUCUCCGUCUUCCCUUCCUUGGACCUUUCUUUCUCUAUGUUUCUGACGAAGAGCUCCGCUCGAAACAUUAAGUCCUCCUUCUUCCCUUCCUUCCUG